rnacentral:rRNA from 1 species
GAUGAACGCUGGCGGCGUGCCUAACACAUGCAAGUCGAGCGGGGACAACCAAAGUAGUAAUACGGCGGGCGUUUCAGCGGCGGACGGGUGAGUAACACGUGAGCAAUCUGCCUUCAGCUGGGGAAUAACAUUGUGAAAACAGUGCUAAUACCGCAUGACGUCCUCCUAUGGCAUCAUAGGGGGAUCAAAGGAGCAAUCCGGCAGGAGAUGAGCUCGCGUCCGAUUAGGUAGUUGGUGAGGUAAAGGCCCACCAAGCCGACGAUCGGUAGCCGAACUGAGAGGUUGAUCGGCCACAUUGGGACUGAGACACGGCCCAGACUCCUACGGGUGGCAG